rnacentral:rRNA from 1 species
AUUGAACGCUGGCGGCAGGCCUAACACAUGCAAGUCGAACGAGUGGCGGACGGGUGAGUAAUGUCUGGGAAACUGCCCGAUGGAGGGGGAUAACUACUGGAAACGGUAGCUAAUACCGCAUACCAUCGGAUGUGCCCAGAUGGGAUUAGCUGGGAGGUGGGGUAACGGCUCACCUAGGCGACGAUCCCUAGCUGGUCUGAGAGGAUGACCCGCCACACUGGAACUGAGACACGGUCCAGACUCCUACGGGAGGCAGCAGUGGGGAAUAUUGCACAAGGGGCGCAAGCCUGAUGCAGCCAUGCCGCGUGUAUGAAGAAGGCCUUCGGGUUGUAAAGUACUUUCAGCGAGGAGGCGUUACUCGAAGAAGAAGCACCGGCUAACUCCGUGCCAGCAGCCGCGGUAAUAC